UACAGGGGGUGCAAACGUUGCUCGGAAUCAUUGGGCGUAAAGCGCACGUAGGCGGUUCGUUAUGUCGGAUGUGAAAGCCUUCGUCGUAACCGAGGAAGUGCAUCCGAAACUGGCGAGCUAGAGUACUAAAGAGGAUCGCGGAAUUCCCGGUGUAGAGGUGAAAUUCGUAGAUAUCGGGAGGAACACCGGUGGCGAAGGCGGCGAUCUGGGUAGAUACUGACGCUGAGGAGCGAAAGCGUGGGGAGCGAACAGG
rnacentral:rRNA from 1 species